UACGUAGGGUGCGAGCGUUAAUCGGAAUUACUGGGCGUAAAGCGUGCGCAGGCGGCUUUGUAAGCCAGGUGUGAAAUCCCCGGGCUCAACCUGGGAAUGGCAUUUGGGACUGCAAGGCUGGAGUGCGGCAGAGGAGACUGGAAUUCCUGGUGUAGCAGUGAAAUGCGUAGAUAUCAGGAGGAACACCGAUGGCGAAGGCAGUGGGCUGGGCCGGCACUGACGCUGAGGAGCGAAAGCGUGGGGAGCGAACAGG
rnacentral:rRNA from 1 species